rnacentral:rRNA from 1 species
GAUGAACGCUGGCGGCGUGCCUAAUACAUGCAAGUCGAGCGAACGGACGAGAAUCUUGCUUCUCUGAUGUUAGCGGCGGACGGGUGAGUAACACGUGGAUAACCUACCUAUAAGACUGGGAUAACUUCGGGAAACCGGAGCUAAUACCGUAUAAUAUUUUGAACCGCAUGGUUCAAAAGUGAAAGACGGUCUUGCUGUCACUUAUAGCUGGAUCCGCGCUGCAUUAGCUAGUUGGUAAGGUAACGGCUUACCAAGGCAACGAUGCAUAACCGACCUGAGAGGGUGAUCGGCCACACUGGAACUGAGACACGGUCCAGACUCCGACGGGAGGCAGCAGUAGGGAAGCUUCCGCAAUGGGCGAAAGCCUGACGGAGCAACGCCGCGUGAGUGAUGAAGGUCUUCGGAUCGUAAAACUCUGUUAUUAGGGAAGAACAUAUGUGUAAGUAACUGUGCACAUCUUGACGGUACCUAAUCAGAAAGCCACGGCUAACUACGU